rfam:Corchorus olitorius cultivar O-4 contig16429, whole genome shotgun sequence.
CUGGCAGGGAUGGUGUGUAUCGGCUCUGUGCUACAAUAAAUGCACUCUGUUUCCGAAAGAGUUCCCUGCAAAAUCAACUGCAUGAGCAUGAGGAAGAUGGGCAGUUGUUUUUCAUCCUAGUCGUUGGAAUUACCAACAAUCAUCUUCCAAACAUCA